AAGGAACUUGGUGUGGAGAGAACCUUCUCUUGCAGAAGAGUUUCAUUGACCUCAUUCGCAUGAAUGAUGAUUUGAAGUUACAUUGUCUUAUUCAUUUAAUCGAAGAUAUUAUUGUGGGAAUAUGUACAUUUACCGAAACCUAAAGUUGGCUAUUGUGUGUGUGUGAUAAGCAGUCCACUAUAACAUGGACUGCAUAUUGCUGAUAUAGGAAGUAUGUUUUUAGACAGUAGACAUGAGUGAUACUAAUAAAUAAGAAUAUAUGUGAAUAACACAUUCUCAGAAAAUAUUAGUGUUAGAUGGUAUUUGAGGGUAUAGUGGUCAUUCCAUAUGAUAACUCUCUCGUCCGGCCCUCAAAUAGUCCUCCCGCCCGUCUUUCACUCGGUCAGCAAUCCCUCUUCUCCUCCAACCUCCUCCUCGCCACCGGCCGUGACGGAGAGCCUAAGACGCUUCUCGCCACCGGCCGUGACGGAGAGCCUAAGACGCUUCUCGCCUCGCCAUCCACGACCGCCGAUCGCCGUCGCCCGGUGCUGCUCACCUCCUGUUCGCUAUCAGCACUUCUUGAACGCCGAUGCGACAUUUGAUCGGCGGAGUGGGGGGGUUUCUCCCGGUUCUUGGAUGAUUCGUUCUUGCUACUGCUUUCCUUUCGGAUUGCGGUUGGCGCAUCCAUUUCCGACGCUCGGAAGUUCCUGCGCGGAUUAUGCGGUCCGGGAUGCCCCGCACCGGCAAUUCAUCUUUCCGCAACCCUUUCGAUGAUGUCCUUCAUGCGGAUGAACACGGAUGCAUUGCAUCAGUCGUCGAUUGAGUUCGAUCGGGAGGGGGGUUUCUCCCGAUUCUUGGAUGAUUCGUUCUUGCUACUGCUUUCCUUUCGGAUUGUGCGUGGCGCAUCGAUUUCCGAUGCUCGGCUGUUCUUGCGCGGCUGAUGCGGUCCGGGAUGCCCGGCACCGGCAGUCCAUCUUUCUGCAACCCUUUUGAUGAUGUCCUUCAUGUCGAUGAAUGAACAUGGAUGCAUUGCUUCGGUCAUCGAUCGAGUUCGAUCGCUAAUUAGCCGACCACGAGUGGUUCAGAGAGGAGAGUAGUAAAGUAGGGUUGAGAUGGCAAGAUGUCAGGCCUCACAAGCAAUGGCAGUGUCGGCUCACAAGGCUGAGGCAAUCUUUGAGACGAGAAGGUGAUUGAAGCCAUCUGUUUAUGAAUGGCUACGAUUGUUUCUUGGAGUUCCCUACAAGAAAGAAUGGCUAUCAUUGUUCUUCCCUUUGA